rnacentral:rRNA from 1 species
AGUGAACGCUGGCGGUAGGCCUAACACAUGCAAGUCGAACGGCAGCACAGUAAGAGCUUGCUCUUACGGGUGGCGAGUGGCGGACGGGCGAGGAAUACAUCGGAAUCUACUUUUUCGUGGGGGAUAACGUAGGGAAACUUACGCUAAUACCGCAUACGACCUACGGGUGAAAGCAGGGGAUCUUCGGACCUUGCGCGAUUGAAUGAGCCGAUGUCGGAUUAGCUAGUUGGCGGGGUAAAGGCCCACCAAGGCGACGAUCCGUAGCUGGUCUGCGAGGAUGAUCAGCCACACUGGAACUGAGACACGGUCCAGACUCCUACGGGAGGCAGCAGUGGGGAAUAUUGGACAAUGGGCGCAAGCCUGAUCCAGCCAUACCGCGUGGGUGAAGAAGGCCUUCGGGUUGUAAAGCCCUUUUGUUGGGAAAGAAAAGCAGCAGGUUAAUACCCCGCUGUUCUGACGGUACCCAAAGAAUAAGCACCGGCUAACUUCGUG